rnacentral:rRNA from 1 species
GACGAACGCUGGCGGCGUGCUUAACACAUGCAAGUCGAACGGAAAGGCCCUGCUUGCGGGGUACUCGAGUGGCGAACGGGGGAGUAACACGUGGGUGGUCUGCCCUGCACUUCGGGAUACGCAUGGGAAACUGGGUCGAAUACCGGAUAGGAGACAUCUUGAGUGUGAUGGGGGGAAAGUAUUGUCGGUGUAGGAUGAGCUCGCGGCCUAGCAGCUUGUUGGUGGGGGAAUGGCCUACCGAGGCGGCGUCGGGUAGCCGGCCUGGGAAGGUGGACGGCCACAUUGGCACCGGGUGUCGGCCCUGUCACCUGCGGGUGGGAGGAGUGGGGAAGGUUGCACGACUGGCGCAAGCCGGGUGCCGCGGCGCCGCGGGCGGGAUGACGGCCUUCGCGUUGUAAACGCCGUUCGCGAGUGACUAAGCUUGCUGUGACGGUACCUAGAUAAGAAGCACCGGCUAACUACGUG